rnacentral:tRNA from 1 species
GGACCUGUAGUUGAAAAACAACAUUAAAUUGCAAAUUUAAAGGCGUAGAAGUUAUACCAGGUCCU